rnacentral:tRNA from 1 species
AAAUCGGUAGACGCUACGGACUUAAAAUCCGUCGACUUUAGAAGUCGGGAGGGUUCAAGUCCCUCUAUCCCCA